rnacentral:rRNA from 2 species
UUAAAGCAUACGGAAGCAUACACAUGCAGUCGAGCGCCCCGCAGGGGAGCGGCAGACGGGUGAGUAACGCGUGGGAAUCUACCCUUUUCUACGGAAUAACGCAGGGAAACUUGUGCUAAUACCGUAUGAGCCCUUCGGGGGAAAGAUUUAUCGGGAAAGGAUGACCCCGCGUUGGAUUAGCUAGUUGGUGGGGUAAAGGCCUACCAAGGCGACGAUCCAUAUCUGGUCUGAGAGGAUGAUCACCCACAUUGGGACUGAAACACGGCCCAAACUCCUACGGGAGGCAGCAGUGGGGAAUAUUGGACAAUGGGCGCAAGCCAGAUCCAACCAUGCCGCGUUAGUGAUGAAGGCCAUAGGGUUGUAACGCUCUUUCCCGGUAAAAAUAAUCACAACCCC